UGGGGAAUAUUGGACAAUGGGCGAAAGCCUGAUCCAGCCAUGCCGCGUGUGUGAAGAAGGUCUUCGGAUUGUAAAGCACUUUAAGUUGGGAGGAAGGGCAGUCAGUUAAUACCUGGUUGUUUUGACGUUACCAACAGAAUAAGCACCGGCUAACUUCGUG
rnacentral:rRNA from 1 species